rnacentral:rRNA from 1 species
AUGCACGCUAGCUACAGGCUUAACACCUGCAAGUCGAGGGGAAACGGCAUCGAAAGCUUGCUUUUGAUGGGCGUCGACCGGCGCACGGGUGAGUAACGCGUAUCCAACCUGCCCAUCACUUGGGAAUAACCUUGCGAAAGUAAGACUAAUGCCCAAUGACAUCCCACGAAGGCAUCCGAAUGGGAUUAAAGAUUUAUCGGUGAUGGAUGGGGAUGCGUCUGAUUAGCUUGUUGGCGGGGUGACGGCCCACCAAGGCAACGAUCAGUAGGGGUUCUGAGAGGAAGGUCCCCCACAUUGGAACUGAGACACGGUCCAAACUCCUACGGGAGGCAGCAGUGAGGAAUAUUGGUCAAUGGGCGAGAGCCUGAACCAGCCAAGUAGCGUGCAGGAUGACGGCCCUAUGGGUUGUAAACUGCUUUUAUAAGGGAAUAAAGUGGGUCACGUGUGACUUUUUGCAUGUACCUUAUGAAUAAGGACCGGCUAAUUCCGUG